rnacentral:tRNA from 1 species
AUUUAGAUAGUUUAAAUAAAACAUCGGUCUUGUAAGCCGAAACUGAAGGUUAGCCCCUUCUCCAAAUA